rnacentral:rRNA from 1 species
CACGUUGGAACCUGCCCCAAAGUAAGGGAUAAGCCACCGAAAGGUGGUCUAAUACCUUAUAGUAUCCAUCUCGUAUGGAUUAAAGCUUUAUGCGCUUUGGGAGGGGCCUGCGUUUGAUUAGCUAGUUGGUGAGGUAAAAGCUCACCAAGGCGACGAUCAAUAGCUGGUUUGAGAGGAUGACCAGCCACACUGGGACUGAGAUACGGCCCAGACUCCUACGGGAGGCAGCAGUAAGGAAUCUUCCACAAUGGGGCAACCCUGAUGGAGCAAUACCGCGUGCAGGAUGAAGCGUUUCGGCGUGUAAACUGCUUUUAUCACCGAAGAUUAUGACUGUAGGUGAAGAAUAAGGACCGGCUAACUACGUG